UACGGAGGGUGCAAGCGUUGCUCGGAAUUAUUGGGCGUAAAGCGUCCGCAGGUGGCAAUGUAAGUCUGCUGUCAAAGCGUCUGGCUCAACCAGAUAAAGGCAGUGGAAACUACAUAGCUAGAGUAAGGUAGGGGUAGAGGGAAUUCCUGGUGUAGCGGUGAAAUGCGUAGAGAUCAGGAAGAACACCGGUGGCGAAAGCGCUCUGCUGGACCUUAACUGACACUGAGGGACGAAAGCUAGGGGAGCGAAUGGG
rnacentral:rRNA from 1 species